CUGUGUGGGUUCUGGUGUGUGCACGCUCUGCGCUCAUAAAAAAACUGAGCGCGGACGACCGAACCUGCGCGCUCUGCUCAAGCUCCGAAAACAAGCACUUCGAUUCGUGAAAGGAGGAUUUACAAACGCAGCAAGAACGGCUGCUCAACACAGACAGCCAGGGACACCAAAUCAUUCUUCAAAAGAAAAAGCAGGCACAAAGCGGACGGCCCUGGGCCCGGCGGGCAGCGGCGGGAGUGGCGGGAGCCGUUGCUACGUGCCAGGUGUCUGCGCGGCAGACUUGAAAGCCGCCCCUGCCUGCAGGACCGGCGGACGGGAGUCAUUACUGCACGUGUGCCACAGGUAAACAGCAGAGUCCCGGACUGUCGGGGCCACGUGCGGAAUUCAGCAGCUGCCUUUGCACCCCUGCACCCCUGCACAGCCAGUCCAGCCAGUUCUGCCAAAGGGGAGUGUGUUCUCAUGUCCCUGUCAGCACUGCUUUGAGCACCUGACACAGCACAGAGAGACAGAACAGGGUUUACCCAACCGUAAAACCACACAACGCUCUGCGCAGCACGCACACCUUCUAUAAACAGAGCCAAGAUGCACAUCAGCCGACAGGCAAUGCAGCCCUGCGGGAUUCUGACACACCGGUUCAGCACACCAGGGUGACAGGGCGCAUUUCCCCGCCUCCUUAUGUUCCCUGAGCAAACACCAAAAAAAUAAACAAAACACAUAAUCCC